rnacentral:rRNA from 1 species
UACGGGGGGGGCAAGCGUUGUUCGGAGUUACUGGGCGUAAAGGGUGUGUAGGCGGUUCUUUUAAGUUUGGUGUGAAAUCUCCCGGCUCAACCGGGAGGGUGCGCCGAAUACUGAGGGACUAGAGUGCGGGAGAGGAAAGUGGAAUUCCUGGUGUAGCGGUGAAAUGCGUAGAUAUCAGGAAGAACACCCGUGGCUAAGGCGGUUCUCUAGUACGGUACUGACG